rnacentral:rRNA from 1 species
GUGGGGAAUCUUGCGCAAUGGUCUAACGACUGACGCAGCGACGCCGCGUGUGGGAGGACGCCUUUCGGGGUGUAAACCACUGUUGCCCGGGACGAACACCUCUUUUCGGAGAGGCUGACGGUACCGGGUGAGGAAGCACCGGCUAACUCCGUGCCAGCAGCCGCGGUAAUACGGAGGGUGCGAGCGUUGUCCGGAAUCAUUGGGCGUAAAGGGCGCGUAGGUGGCCCGGUCAGUCUUUGGUGAAAGCGCGGGGCUCAACCCUGCGUCGGCCAGGGAUACUGCCGCGGCUCGAGCACUGUAGAGGCAGGCGGAAUUCCGGGUGUAGCGGUGGAAUGCGUAGAGAUCCGGAAGAACACCGGUGGCGAAGGCGGCCUGCUGGGCAGUUUAGCUGACACUGAGGCGCGACAGCGUGGGGAGCAAACAGG